GGGUGAGGAAUAGAUAGGAAUGUACCUGAAUCUCCGGGAUAGCGUCCUGAAAGGGGCAGUAAUACCGGAUAAUGUAGCUUGCUACCAAAGAUUUAUCGGUUUCAGAGCAGCCUAUCUCCUAUCAGCUUGUUGGUGAGGUAAUGGCUUACCAAGGCGACGACGGGUAGCGGGACUGAGAGGUUGACCCGCCACAUCGGGACUGAGACACUGCCCGGACCUCCACGGAGGGCUGCAGUAACGAAUAUUGGGCAAUGGGCGAAAGCCUGACCCAGCAAUGCCGCGUGUAGGAUGAAGCUUUUCGGAGUGUAAACUAUUGUCAGGUCUUAGAAAGUCUUCGGAUUGAUCAGGACCAGAGGAAGCAACGGCUAACUUCGUGCCAGCAGCCGCGGUAAUACGAAGGUUGCAAGCGUUAUUCGGAAUCACUGGGCUUAAAGGGCACGCAGGCGGAACAGCAAGUGUCAUGUGAAAUCCCCCGGCUUAACCGGGGAAUUGCUUGGCAAACUGUUAUUCUUGAGGCAAGUAAGAGUGCAUGGAACUCUUGGUGGAGCGGUGGAAUGCGUAGAUAUCAAGAGGAACGCCAGUGGAGAAGUCGGUGCACUGGGCUUGUCCUGACGCUGAGGUGCGAAAGCGUGGGGAGCAAACAGGAUUAGAUACCCUGGUAGUGUCACGCCGUAAACGAUGUCAAUUAGAUCGUGGGAGUUUCUGACACAUUCGCGAUCGGAGCAAAAGUGUUAAGUUGACCGCCUGGGAAGUACGGCUGCAAGGCUAAAACUCAAAUGAAUUGACGGGGGCUCACUCAAGCGGUGGAGCAUGUGGAUUAAUUCGAAGCAACGCGCAGAUCCUUACCUGGGUUUGACAUGUUUGGAUGCUCAUCUGGAAACAGAGUAGGCUGCCCUUCGGGGUGAAACUUACACAGGUGCUGCAUGGCGGUCGUCAGCUCGUGUCGUGAGAUGUCGGGUUAAGUCCUUUAACGAGCGAAACCCUUGCCGUUAGUUGCCAGCGAGUAAUGUCGGGGACUCUAGCGGGACUGCCGGUGUUAAACCGGAGGAAGGUGGGGAUGACGUCAAGUCCUCAUGGCCUUUAUGCCCAGGGCUUCA
rnacentral:rRNA from 1 species